GAGUGAAUUUGUGCAUGGGCCCUUUAAGACCCGGGUCUUUUCGGCUUUCGGCUGAUAGCUUCUCUGGGGGUAUCCUCGCUGCAGUUAAUAGCCAGCAAAGCCGGACGUGACCCUUGAGGUGACUUCAUAGCAACUAGAGGUCUCCAUAGAUGGGAUUUGAAAGCCUUUUGUUGAGUCCAUCUCCAACUUUUCACAACUGAAGACACUGAGGAUUGGAAUUCAUGAAUGAUUUGAGCAAGAAGAUCAUACAACAAUCCAUUCCUGGGAUUUUUGUUCCCCAGCCCUCAGCUAAACAUGGUGGCUGGAAACUUCUUCAAGACAUUUUCUCCCGGUUCACUUCAUACCUUAAUCAUCUUCUUCUAGAAAUAUUCUCAGUUUUCCAUGAAAUUACCAGUCCUUUAGGGAAAUCAGUGUUCAUAGGCAAGAACAUUGGCAGACCACAGGUUGUUGCAACAUCUGUACAUUCUUGACCAGUAUUAUAUUUAUUGUUAUUGUUGUUAUCAUUUGGAGGGAUGGAGGUUGUGUGUGUGUGUUUUCAGAGUCAUGAAGGGUCUUGGCAUUUAAUUCUUUUUAAGAUCCAGAGGUUGGAAUUGUAUAGUUGAGGACACAUUUGGAUUUUAACAACUCCUUUUAGAAUGAAGUAUGAAGUAAUAUCCUAUUUAUAUCCAAGGUGAAUGCCAAAUUACAGUAUGAUGUCAUAUGUUGAAUUCCCUUAAUGAUCAGACAGGCAUGCAGCUUCCUUCAUGCACAGCUAACCCAGAGAUAAUCCAUGAACUGGAACUUCUUCAGCCCCUAGUGAUGCAGCUACAUGAUCCUGCCUUGACUUAGGUCAGGAGUGUCUGGCAGAGACUGAGACGACUCUGAUUUUGCUUGCUAUUGCUUCAGCCUUGUAGGGGAGGAAAAGGUUUUCCCUUGACUCUGUUAGGGUCCCUGACCGGGUCUGAAAAAUUAAACUGACACAGACAGAUUUACAGGAGAAAAGCAGACACAUUUAUUUAAUAUAAGUUUUAUGUGACACAGGAGCCUUCAUAAGGAAACAAAGACCCAAAGAAACACUUGGACCUGUGUAUUUUCAUGCACAUUUGAUGAAGAGUGGAUAGACGUGGAGGAUUACGAUAGGUUAAAGAGGAUGAGGUGAGGAUGUUGAAACACAGAUUGGGUCACCAGUCCAAAACCACAUGAUCAGCAGUACUAUGGAUUCCAAACACUCCGCCACCACGCUAAAUGUAGAGCUGCAGAGAAUCACAGGAUAAGAUCACCUCUAUGUGACACAGUGACUCACUGAGCUGGACGAGAAGUGAAGUCCAGGGAAGGAUUUGAAAAGAUAAAGGCUGUAGUCCAGAACUACGAGAAUGUGUGUAGCGCAGCCCUUGCAAACGGAAGGCAACAAGCAGAGAAAGAAGCUCUUUGAGUAGAAGGAGAUGCCUAGCGUCAUAAACGUUGCUAUUGACAUGAAGCUUCUUCAAGGUUGUGGCAUGUGGGACGCCACCUCAGCAUGGUUCGAUGAGCAGUGCCAUGUCCGCGCCCAGGACUCGAACCAACGAAACACUGGGCCGCCUGCAGCGGAGCGCGCGAACUUAACCACUCGGCCACGGGGCCAGCCCCUAUACUCGAUUUUUUAAUCCUGAAACAUGAUACUCUUCUAAUACCCAGAAGUUAUCAGAAAAGCAAUCUAUUUUUCAGACAUCCAGGAAGAAGGAAUGGAGAUCUCACGGAGCAUAUUUGAAUGUCCUGGUGGUAGAAAAACAAAAUUCGUUUUUGACUGUAUCCUACAGAGUUCAGUGUGUUUACUAAACCUCUUAGACAUCCUUAUUUACUUUUAUAAGAUAUUUUGCCACACAGCAUUCAAUUGUGUCCAGUUUUCCUCUCCAGUGGAGCUAUGUUCUGUUGUUAUGUUGAAAACUAAAAAUAUAAAUAUAGCCAUAUAGGAGCUACUAUUGAAAGUAAAACAAUAAAGUUUCAG
rnacentral:lncRNA from 1 species